rnacentral:misc_RNA from 1 species
AAAGUCGUAACAAGGUUUCCGUAGGUGAACCUGCGGAAGGAUCAUUAUUGAAUAUUCUUGAUGGGUUGUAGCUGGCUCUUUGGGGCAUGUGCACGCCUGUCUUGACUCUAUUCAUCCACCUGUGCACCUUUUGUAGUCUUGGGGGUUGAGAGCAGUCAACUAUCGGACGGCUAUGUGGCCUUUCCGGAUGUGAGGAUUGCUGAGUGCGAAAGCAUACAGCUCUUCUCAAAGUGACUUGUAAACCUCUCCUUCGAGCACUAUGUUUUCAUAUACCACAUAGUAUGUUGUAGAAUGUGAUCAAUGGGCCUAUGGGCCUAUAAUAAUCUUAUACAACUUUCAGCAACGGAUCUCUUGGCUCUC